UCCUCUUUAGCUCAGUUGGUUAGAGCAUACCCCUGAUAAGGGUGAGGUCGCUGGUUCGAGUCCAGCAAGGGGAACCA
rnacentral:tRNA from 1 species